UACGUAGGGUCCGAGCGUUGUCCGGAAUUACUGGGCGUAAAGAGCUCGUAGGCGGUUUGUCGCGUUGUUCGUGAAAACUCACAGCUCAACUGUGGGCGUGCGGGCGAUACGGGCAGACUGGAGUACUGCAGGGGAGACUGGAAUUCCUGGUGUAGCGGUGAAAUGCGCAGAUAUCAGGAGGAACACCGGUGGCGAAGGCGGGUCUCUGGGCCGAAACUGACGCUGAGGAGCGAAAGCGUGGGGAGCGAACAGG
rnacentral:rRNA from 1 species